rnacentral:snoRNA from 1 species
GGAAUGUUUUCAGGAAGAUCUACAUGCAUAUCUUGUUAAUCUUUAAUUAACAUUCCUAGAGCAAUCAUUUACAUGGAAUUUAAUGCAUGUCGCAAAUAAACUAGCUUUAUUUGGGUGCCCAUUUUAUUUCGUACA